ensembl:misc_RNA Metazoa_SRP Metazoan signal recognition particle RNA
GCUAGGCAUGAUGGUGCAUGCCUGUAAUCCCGGCUACUUGGGAGGCUGAGGUGGGAGAAUUGCUUGAGCCCGGGAGUUUGAGGCUGCAGUGAGCCGAGAUCGAGACACUGCACUCUAGCCUGGACAAUAGAGUGAGACCCUGCCUCCA